rnacentral:rRNA from 1 species
GAUGAACGCUAGCGGCAGGCCUAACACAUGCAAGUCGAGGGGUAGAGGAAGCUUGCUUCCUUGAGACCGGCGCACGGGUGCGUAACGCGUAUGCAAUCUACCUUAUACAAAGGGAUAGCCCAGAGAAAUUUGGAUUAAUACCUUAUAGUAUUAUGAAAUCGCAUGGUUUUAUAAUUAAAGUUCCAACGGUAUAAGAUGAGCAUGCGUCCCAUUAGUUAGUUGGUAAGGUAACGGCUUACCAAGACAAUGAUGGGUAGGGGUCCUGAGAGGGAGAUCCCCCACACUGGUACUGAGACACGGACCAGACUCCUACGGGAGGCAGCAGUGAGGAAUAUUGGUCAAUGGACGCAAGUCUGAACCAGCCAUGCCGCGUGCAGGAUGACGGUCCUAUGGAUUGUAAACUGCUUUUAUACAGGAAGAAACACUCCCUCGUGAGGGAGCUUGACGGUACUGUAGGAAUAAGGAUCGGCUAACUCCGUGCCAGCCGCCGCGGUAAAAC